AUGAACGCUGGCGGCGUGCCUCAUACAUGCACGUCGAGCGAACAGACGAGGAGCUUGCUCCUCUGACGUUAGCGGCGGACGGGUGAGUAACACGUGGAUAACCUACCUAUAAGACUGGGAUAACUUCGGGAAACCGGAGCUAAUACCGGAUAAUAUAUUGAACCGCAUGGUUCAAUAGUGAAAGACGGUUUUGCUGUCACUUAUAGAUGGAUCCGCGCCGCAUUAGCUAGUUGGUAAGGUAACGGCUUACCAAGGCAACGAUGCGUAGCCGACCUGGGAGGAUAGUCGGCCACACUGGAACUGAGACGCGGUCCAGACUCCUACGGGAGGCAGCAGUAGGGAAUCUUCCGCAAUGGGCGAAAGCCUGACGGAGCAACGCCGCGUGAGUGAUGAAGGUCUUCGGAUCGUAAAACUCUGUUAUUAGGGAAGAACAAAUGUGUAAGUAACUAUGCACGUCUUGACGGUACCUAAUCAGAAAGCCACGGCUAACUACGUG
rnacentral:rRNA from 1 species